UUAUGACCAUAUCACAAUGAAACAUGAGUUCCUGUAUGAUCAUCAAAGUUAAGCAAUGUCAAGCCUGGUCAGUAUCUUGAUGGGUGACAGCUUGAGAAUACCAGGUGCUGUAA